AUUGAACGCUGGCGGCAUGCUUUACACAUGCAAGUCGAACGGUAACAGCACUUCGGUGGCUGACGAGUGGCGAACGGGUGAGUAAUACAUCGGAACGUGUCUAGUAGUGGGGGAUAACUACUCGAAAGAGUAGCUAAUACCGCAUGAGAUCUAAGGAUGAAAGCAGGGGACCUUCGGGCCUUGCGCUACUAGAGCGGCUGAUGGCAGAUUAGGUAGUUGGUGGGAUAAAAGCUUACCAAGCCGACGAUCUGUAGCUGGUCUGAGAGGACGACCAGCCACACUGGGACUGAGACACGGCCCAGACUCCUACGGGAGGCAGCAGUGGGGAAUUUUGGACAAUGGGCGCAAGCCUGAUCCAGCAAUGCCGCGUGCAGGAUGAAGGCCUUCGGGUUGUAAACUGCUUUUGUACGGAACGAAAAGCCCUCUUCUAAUACAGGAGGGUCAUGACGGUACCGUAAGAAUAAGCACCGGCUAACUACGUG
rnacentral:rRNA from 1 species